UUUAGAUCAGGGCUGUCAGACGUCCCGAACCAAAAUGACAGGCUCAGCACCACCCCCUUCUCCUACACCAAACAAAGAGAUGAAGAACAAAGCGAUUCUUUGCAAACCUUUAACAAUGACAAAAGCAACUUACUGUAAGCCUCACAUGCAGACCAAGUCUUGUCAGACAGAUGAAAAUUGGAAGACAGAGUAUGUCCCAGUGCCUAUUCCUGUGCCUGUGUAUGUCCCUGUGCCUAUGCACAUGUACAGCCAGAGUAUUCCUGUUCCUACCACAGUCCCUGUCCCUGUGCCCGUUCCUGUGUUUUUGCCUGCUCCAUUGGAGAACAGUGAGAAGAUUCCUGCCUCAGUUGAGGACCUCAAAAGCAAAGUGUCUUCAGAUCCUCUUGAUACAGAAUUGCUUACAAUGACGGAUAUGAUGACUGAAGAGGAGGGGAAAACAGAGGCAUCUAAUAUCAACAGUGUAAUUAUUGAGACAGACAUAAUUGGCUCAGAUCUUACAAAGAACUCUGACUCAGAUAUACAAUCCAACAUGCCCGAUGUACCAUAUGAACCAGAUUUGGAUAUUGAAAUAGAUUUCCCCAGAGCUGCAGAGGAACUUGAUAUGGAAAAUGAGUUUUUAUUACCACCAGUUUUUGGGGAAGAAUAUGAGGAGCAGCCCAGACCUCGAUCUAAAAAAAAGGUAUAGA
rnacentral:lncRNA from 1 species